rnacentral:lncRNA from 1 species
AACGAGAGUUGCCGGAGAUCCUCACCGGUGAAAUAGACACCUGUCCAAGAAAAUAGAACACACCCACAAAAGCAGGGGAGAGACUAAAAAGGAAAAGUGCAGGGGUUGCCAGAAAAGUUUUCGGCGGAAACAAAAAUUUCAGACCUCUGGACAGCACCGAGAUCUGCUGUGGGUAAGCAGUGAGAAAAAUGAGGUGGCUAAG